UACAGAGGGUGCGAGCGUUAAUCGGAAUUACUGGGCGUAAAGCGUGCGUAGACGGUUAUGUAAGUCGGGUGUGAAAGCCCCGGGCUCAACCUGGGAAUUGCAUUCGAGACUGCAUAGCUAGGGUGCGGAAGAGGGAAGCGGAAUUUCCGGUGUAGCGGUGAAAUGCGUAGAUAUCGGAAGGAACACCAGUGGCGAAAGCGGCUUCCUGGUCCAGCACCGACGUUCAGGCACGAAAGCGUGGGGAGCGAACAGG
rnacentral:rRNA from 1 species